UUUAGGAUUCUAUGAGAAGGCUUAGAAAACCUCAGAUGACCUGGUCAAGCUUGGAGUCAAGCAGAGUAAUCCAAGUGCCAACCCCAGCUGAGCUGAGCUGUUCAGAGAGGCUCCAAGGGGGAGUAUAGCCAAGCCUGGACCCUACCCAGAAGCAGGGCAGGCAGGGAUGACAGAGCAGUCAGUCACCACCCUGAUGCAACAUCCCGGUAACCAGAGAAAGUGCUUCCCUGGCAAACAAGCUUUGUCAGUUGGAUGAUCCCAGGUCACAAAACUGGGCGUCCAUCAUUCCCUAUGCCUAGUCUUCUGCGGGGAGGAUUGUGUGGGAGAUAAGAAGGACAAAGACUAUAAUGAGUGGUCAUGAUCAGCCCAUUGGGGCCCAAUGGCACACAGCACACUUCACAGAACUCUCUCUUCCAUUGUGACUUCAUUGGACUAGAGGCUAUUCCCAUCAUUUUAUAUCUGAGGAAACUGAGGCACAGAGACCUGAAAUAGGGCUCAACAAGUUUGUUUUGCCAGACCCCAGGUUUUACAGCCAUACAAAUCUUGCUGUUUUCUAAAAGGGAAGACAAAUAAAAGACAGCCUGAGACAGUAGAACCCUGGCCCCACCUCCGGGUGAGUGAGAUCUGCAGAAUCACAGAGCAUCAGAGCCAGAACUCUACUGAUCAUCCCAUC